UUCAGGGCUCAAUACAUUUUCAAAAAAUUGGGAAGAUUGGCCCAAUCUCGUCUGACCAUGGAAGCUAAGCAGGGUUGGGCCUGGUUAGUACUUGGAUGGGAGACCACCUAGGAAUCCUGGGUGCUGUAG
rnacentral:rRNA from 1 species